rnacentral:rRNA from 1 species
AUACGAGGGGUGCAAGCGUUGUUCGGAAUUACUGGGCGUAAAGGGAGCGUAGGCGGAGAUUCAAGCGGAUUGUACAAUCCCGGGGCCCGACCCCGGCUCUGCAGUCCGAACUGGAUCUCUUGGAUAGUUCAGGGGCAGGCGGAAUUCCUGGUGUAGCGGUGGAAUGCGUAGAGAUCAGGAAGAACACCGAUGGCGAAGGCAGCCUGCUGGGGACUUAUCGACGCUGAGGCUCGAAAGUGCGGGUAGCAAACAGGAUUAGAUACCCUGGUAGUCCGCACCGUAAACGAUGCAUACUGGGUGUCCGGGGGUUCCCCCGGGUACCGUAGCCAACGCGUUAAGUAUGCCGCCUGGGGAGUACGUACGCAAGUAUGAAACUCAAAGGAAUUGGCGGGG